rnacentral:rRNA from 1 species
UACGGGGGGGGCAAGCGUUGUUCGGAAUUACUGGGCGUAAAGGGCUCGUAGGCGGCCCUCUCAGUCGGAUGUGAAAUCCCCAGGCUUAACUUGGGAAUGGCAUCCGAUACUGGAGGGCUUGAAUUCGGGAGAGGGAUGCAGAAUUCCAGGUGUAGCGGUGAAAUGCGUAGAUAUCUGGAGGAAUACCGGUGGCGAAGGCGGCAUCCUGGACCGAGAUUGACGCUGAGGAGCGAAAGCUAGGGGAGCAAACGGG